GGUAAUUAAGAAGUUGCGUGUAGGUAUUUCUAUACUAUUGAGGAAGAUAUUAAGGCUGCGUUUGGUUCGGGUAUAAGUAAGAACUGCUAGUUCUAGGGAUAGGUACAAGUUCAGGUAUAAGCAGGAACUAGACCAAUUUUGCGGAUGAAAAUUGGGUUGUUCCUAGGAAUAAGAUAAAUAGUGUUUGGAUGGUUAGAUAGGAACAAGAGAAAUAAGAGUUAUAAUUUAAAAUUAAAAUUAUAUUAUGUAAUUAAUAGUAAUAAAAAUAUUACUUAAAAAUAAAUAAAAAAUUAAUUAUUAAUAAUUAAUUAUAAAUAUUAAUUAAUAAUAAUAAUUAAUUAUAAAUAAUAAAUUAAUAAUAUGGAUGAUCUAAUUAAUAAUAAUAAUUAUUAUUAUUAAUUAUUAAUAAAUAAUAAUAAUUAUUAAUUAUUCUUAUUAAUUAAUUAUAAAUAAUAAAUUAAUAAUAAUAUUGAUUAUCUAAUUAUUAAUAAUAAUUAAUAUUAAUAUUUAUUAAUAAAUAAUAAUAAUUAUUAUUAUUUAAUUAUAAAUAAUAAAUUAAUAAUAAUAUCCAUUAUCUAAUUAUUAAGAAUAAGAAUUAUUAAUUAAUUAUUAAUAAAUAAUUAUUAUUAUUAAUUAUUAAUUAUUAAUUAUAAAUAAUAAAUUAAUAAUAAUAUCGAUUAUCUAAUUAUUAAGAAUAAAAAUUAUUAAUAAUUAAUAAUAAAUAAUAAUAAUUAUUAAUUAUUAAUAAUUAAUUAUAAAUAAUAAAUUAAUAAUAAUAUCGAUUGUCAUUAAGAAUUAAUAAUAAUUAUUAAUAAAAAAAUAAUGAAUAUUAUUAAUUAUUUAUAAUUAAUUAUAAAUAAUAAAUUAAUAAUAAUAAUUAUCUAAUUAUUCAUAUUUAAUUAUAAAUAAUAAAUUAUUUAAAUUAUUUAAUUAUUAAAGUAAUAAAUAAUGAUUUAAAUAUAUUAAUUAGAUUAAUUAAUAAUUUACUGUUAUUAAAAUUAAAUUUAGAUUUUAAUUAAUCUUGUUCUCAUCAAGGAACAAGCUUGUUCCAGGAAACGGGUGGAACAGCAGUUCCAGCUUUAUACCAGCUAGUUCCAGAUUCCCGGGAAGUACUGUUCCCGGGAACCAAACAUUGCGUUUGGGAACAAAGGGGGGAACAAGGGCCUUGUUCCCGAACCAAACACUACCUAAGUGCUUCGCAAGAUGAGUCGUGUUCUCCAUAUUGCGUCGUGUUAAUAAGAUACUGGCACAACAUUAUAACAAAUUAUUUAAUUUUAUUUGAACACAAAAUUAUAAAAAAUUAUUAUUUUUAUUUGUUCAUGAGAUUAUAAAAAAAUUAUUAUUUUUAUUUGUAUUUGAUUACGAUUUAUUUAGCAGUGUUUUUAUUAUUGUCUUUGUUGACUGAGUAAUUAAGAAAUUGUAUGUAGCUAGAUAAUUCUAUAUUAUUGAGCAAGAUUUUAAAUGCUCCUUGGCACGAGCCGUACUUACCAUGCCACAUCGUACUAACAAGAUAUUAGUAUGAUACUAUUCUUUUACUGAUAGCACGACUCAACAUUACUUUUGUUUAAAAUUAGCAGCUAAUUAAUUAUAUCAAUAAAGCGCAAAAGAUUUAAUGAAGAUAUAUAAGAAGAAAUUAUAAUAUAUUGGUCCAAAAAAAAAAAUUCUGACCGGCAUAUAUCGGCACGGCAUAACAUGCAAUAUGUCGUUUUGUUCAUUUAUUUUAAAAAGUAAACAUUGUUAGAAAUGUAGAGCAAUUAAGCUUUGAAUUUAGGAUUUUGAGUACUAACUGUCAAGUCUUUUGCCACUUGGGCUGCAGAUGGUCUCUUAUGAAGAUUUUUUUAACUUUAAAUUUUUGGGAGUUAAUUAAUUUAGAUAAAGAAGUUAAGAAUUUUAUGAAAAUUUUGUAUCGAUAAUUUAUAAAAUUUAAUAUAAUAGUUGUAAUUAUUUUUUAAUUGUUAAAUUUGGUUUAGAUUUGUAGUUAUCUAAAUUAGAGUUAAAUCCUAAUCUAAUUGGGAUAAGAUAUAAUUUAGAUUUAAUUUGGCCUAUAUGGAUUAUGAGUAGGAGUCUAAUUCUAGUUGAAUUAGAGUUAGACUUGUGUUUAGAAGUCCAAUUAGAUUAGAGUUCUAAUUAGACUCUAAUUU
rnacentral:lncRNA from 1 species